rnacentral:rRNA from 1 species
UUGAACGCUGGCGGCAGGCCUAACACAUGCAAGUCGAACGGUAACAGGAUAGCUUGCUAUCGCUGACGAGUGGCGGACGGGUGAGUAAUACUUAGGGAUCUGCCUCUGUGUGGGGGAGUAACUAUUGGAAACGAUAGCUAAUACCGCAUAAUGUCUACGGACCAAAGCGGGCUUCGGCUCGUGCGCAGAGAGGAACCUAAGCGAGAUUAGCUAGUUGGUGAGGUAAAGGCUCACCAAGGCGACGAUCUCUAGCUGUUCUGAGAGGAAGAUCAGCCCACACUGGAACUGAGACACGGUCCAGACUCCUACGGGAGGCAGCAGUGGGGAAUAUUGCACAAUGGGGGAAACCCUGAUGCAGCCAUGCCGCGUGUGUGAAGAAGGCCUUCGGGUUGUAAAGCACUUUCAGUUGUGAGGAAAGUUUAGUAGUUAAUACCUGCUAGAUGUGACGUUAGCAACAGAAGAAGCACCGGCUAACUCCGUG